rnacentral:rRNA from 1 species
AGCAGCCGCGGUAAUUCCAGCUCCAAUAGCGUAUAUUAAAGUUGUUGCAGUUAAAAGCUCGUAGUUGAAUUUCGGGAUCAAUACGUCGGUCGUGCUUCGGUACGUACUGGCGUCAUUGAUUUCUCCCUUCUGGCGAACCAUGAUGUCAUUAACUUGGUGUCAUGGGAAAUCAGGACUGUUACUUUGAAAAAAUUAGAGUGUUUAAAGCAGGCUCACGCUUGAAUACAUUAGCAUGGAAUAAUGAAAUAGGACGUUCGAUCCUAUUUUGUUGGUUUUUAGGAUCAACGUAAUGAUUAAUAGGGAUAGUUGGGGGCAUUAGUAUUCAAUUGUCAGAGGUGAAAUUCUUGGAUUUAUUGAAGACUAACUACUGCGAAAGCAUUUUGCCAAGGAUGUUUUCAUUAAUCAAGAACGAAAGUUAGGGGAUCGAAGACGAUCAGAUACCGUCGUAGUCUUAACCAUAAACUAUGCCGACUAGGGAUCGGAUGAUGUUAAUUUUUUAAUGACUCAUUCGGCGCCUUAC